rnacentral:rRNA from 1 species
CACCGGCGCCCUGAGUGGCAAUCAGAAUUAUUGGGCCUAAAGCGUUCGUAGCCGGAUUAAUAAAUUUCUUGUGAAAGCAUUGGGCUUAACCCAAUGAAUGGCAGGAAAGACUGUUAAUCUAGGGACCGGGAGGAGUUAGAAGUAUGCUAAGGGGAGCGGUAAAAUGUGAUAAUCCUUGGUAGACUACCUGUGGUGAAGACGUCUAACUAGAACGGAUCCGACGGUGAGGAACGAAGGCUAGGGGAGCAAACCGG